AUAAUGGGUCAGCGACUUAUAUUCUGUAGCAAGGUUAACCGAAUAGGGGAGCCGAAGGGAAACCGAGUCUUAACUGGGCGUUAAGUUGCAGGGUAUAGACCCGAAACCCGGUGAUCUAGCCAUGGGCAGGUUGAAGGUUGGGUAACACUAACUGGAGGACCGAACCGACUAAUGUUGAAAAAUUAGCGGAUGACUUGUGGCUGGGGGUGAAAGGCCAAUCAAACCGGGAGAUAGCUGGUUCUCCCCGAAAGCUAUUUAGGUAGCGCCUCGUGAAUUCAUCUCCGGGGGUAGAGCACUGUUUCGGCAAGGGGGUCAUCCCGACUUACCAACCCGAUGCAAACUGCGAAUACCGGAGAAUGUUAUCACGGGAGACACACGGCGGGUGCUAACGUCCGUCGUGAAGAGGGAAACAACCCAGACCGCCAGCUAAGGUCCCAAAGUCAUGGUUAAGUGGGAAACGAUGUGGGAAGGCCCAGACAGCCAGGAUGUUGGCUUAGAAGCAGCCAUCAUUUAAAGAAAGCGUAAUAGCUCACUGGUCGAGUCGGCCUGCGCGGAAGAUGUAACGGGGCUAAACCAUGCACCGAAGCUGCGGCAGCGACGCUUAUGCGUUGUUGGGUAGGGGAGCGUUCUGUAAGCCUGCGAAGGUGUGCUGUGAGGCAUGCUGGAGGUAUCAGAAGUGCGAAUGCUGACAUAAGUAACGAUAAAGCGGGUGAAAAGCCCGCUCGCCGGAAGACCAAGGGUUCCUGUCCAACGUUAAUCGGGGCAGGGUGAGUCGACCCCUAAGGCGAGGCCGAAAGGCGUAGUCGAUGGGAAACAGGUUAAUAUUCCUGUACUUGGUGUUACUGCGAAGGGGGGACGGAGAAGGCUAUGUUGGCCGGGCGACGGUUGUCCCGGUUUAAGCGUGUAGGCUGGUUUUCCA
rnacentral:rRNA from 1 species